rnacentral:rRNA from 1 species
UGCCUGCUAAGUAUUAAGGUACCGUCUGGCUUCUCGUCGAAUAUAAAGGGAAUAAUAAACAUGGCAGAGAAAAAGUUCCAGAACCUAAAGUCUCAUGACUGCCACAUGAUUAUGACGCAACUGCUUCCGGUUGCAUUGAGGGGGCUUCUAUCGGAUAACGUUCGAUUAGCCAUUGUGAAGCUAUGUGCAUUCCUCAAUGCAAUCUCUCAGAAGGUAAUCGAUCCAAAAAUCAUACCAAGGUUAGAGAAUGAUUUGGUGCAAUGUCUUGUCAUUUUCGAGUUGGUGUUCCCACCAUCCUUGUUCAACAUCAUGACGCACGUCCUAGUUCACCUAUGCGAAGAGAUUAGCGUUUUGGGUCCUGUAUUUCUACACAAU